UACAGAGUGGGCAAGCGUUGUUCGGAUUUACUGGGCGUAAAGGGCGCGUAGGCGGCAAUUCAAGUCAUCUGUGAAAUCUCCGGGCUUAACUCGGAACGGUCAGAUGAUACUGCUUUGCUAGAGUGCGGAAGGGGCAAUCGGAAUUCUUGGUGUAGCGGUGAAAUGCGUAGAUAUCAAGAGGAACACCUGAGGUGAAGACGGGUUGCUGGGCCGACACUGACGCUGACAGCGCGAAAGCCAGGGGAGCAAACGGG
rnacentral:rRNA from 1 species